rnacentral:rRNA from 1 species
GAUGAACGCUGGCUACAGGCUUAACACAUGCAAGUCGAGGGGAAACGCCGGGGAAGCUUGCUUCCCCGGGCGUCGACCGGCGCACGGGUGAGUAACGCGUAUCCAACCUGCCUCUGACUGAGGGAUAACCCGCCGAAAGUCGGCCUAAUACCUCAUGGUAUCGUCUGCGGGCAUCCAACGACGAUUAAAGAUUUCAUCGGUCAGGGAUGGGGAUGCGUCUGAUUAGCUGGUUGGCGGGGUAACGGCCCACCAAGGCUACGAUCAGUAGGGGUUCUGAGAGGAAGGUCCCCCAGAUGGGAACCGGGACCCGGGCCAAAGUGCUACGGGAGGGAGCAGUAAGGAAUACUGGACAAGGGGCGAGAGCCUGAACCAGCCAAGUAGCGUGCAGGAAGACGGCGCUAUGGGUUGUAACCUGCUUUUAUGCGGGGAUAAAGUGAGGGACGUGUCCCUCAUUGCAGGUACCGCAUGAAUAAGGACCGGCUAAUUCCGUG